GUAAACUGAUAAAGGCUGAUCUGAGCUGCUUUCUGGGUGGGUAAGGGGAGAAGCAUUGUGAGCUGGGACUGGAAUGUGUUGCUGAGCCUGGAAAACACAACCCUGUGUUUUCCUCUAGGUGGAUAUUGAGGACUUGUGCUCAAUGUCCGGCCCCGUCAAGUCCUGGGGGUCCUGUUCUGCUGCUGAGCAUGUAGGCAUCAAUUGCAACAGCUCAGCCCAUCCUUGGGCUCCUCACCCCAUCACAAGUGAUUUUGCAAGGGAAAAAAGUUUAAAGUCCACCUCCUUACUCAACACCAACAUGCCCAGGUCUGCCAGCAAAAACACAAAGCACACCCACAGCAAUGCAGAGCUCAUUCUUUACCCCCAAAGGCCCCAUAAAGCCCCCCCAGAUCACCUGGAGGUGCAAAACCUGCUGAGGUCUUGCGUUGUCUUGCAGUGGAGGUGCAAAAGGGCAAGGAGCAGUGCCUGCGCAACGCCCUGGGCUGCUGCAAUCAGCCCAUCCUUUCUUGCAAUCCCUCUUGGCAGGCCAAGGCGAGCGGGGAGGGCCCUCUCACAUAGGCUGGCUGCUCUCCAAGGAGAAGCAAAUGCAAAUAUUUCUUCACUUUGGGCUGGGUGCGGCCUGGGGAUAAAAUUUCCCUGGUCUUUCCCAGAGAAGGCAUCCGACACCGUGCCCUGCUCCCAGGAACAUGAGAAUGUAGGACAAAAAACCACAAAGGUUAUCUUUCUUGCAGCUCUAGGGUUGCUAAAAGGAGCUGACAGGCGCGACCGUAACAUUUUUAAACCAGCGAUCACGGUUUUCCUUUGUAACAAAAAAGGCCUUUCGCAGGUUUCAUUUGCAAGCUGAAGAUUUUGGUGCAGCAUAAGCAAGGCUGUAAAGGGAAACGGGUUGGAAACGGCCCCAUCAGCCGUGAGAAAUGUGAAAAGCAGGCGGUGGACUGAGGGAGAGCUGAGCUGGAUUCCUGGCGUGCCUUCCCUCUGCCAUCACUGCCUCCGAGGUGAAAGCUGCUGGGGAGCGGCGAGCAGGAGCCAGCACUGCAGCGAGAUGGGGAAACUGAGGCUGGAGCAGUCGAGAAGGGAGAAGGAAUGGCAACAGUGCUUUGUUUUUCUUUUAAAAUGGAUUUUAGAGCAGCUGGAGGAAAUCUUUUUUUUUAUUUCCCCCUCCCCCCUCUUUGGUUGACCUGAGUUAAUUGUGAGCAUGUCCCAGCUGGCUUGCUGCAGUGUCAUCCUUUCUGGCAGAGCAUUCGGAUCCAUUUUUUGCACUUCCCUGCGCUCGACACAACCUAAAAGCCAGCAGCUCUCAUGAAAUGCGCUCUGGUUAAGGGAGAGGGCUGGAAAGCAGCUGGAAUUGUUCUGGGUUAAAAAUAAGCGGAGCAGCGCGAGCCCUGAAAUCCUCCAGCUUCGUGAUUUGGAGCAUAGCCAGGAUGAAAAAAAAAAAAAAAGAAAAAAAAAACGGGGAAAAAAAAAAAAAAAAAACAACAAACCACAAAGAAAAUAACACUGUGCUAUUGUCCUUCUAUCCAGAGAUCUGUUUACAGAGAAUCCCACAGCAGGACCUGCAUGGAUCGUCCCCUCCAUACGCAGCGCUGGGGGGUUAUUUUUAACGCAAUGUUUUCCAUACGCCAGGAAAAAAAAAAAAAAAUCGAUGCAUCCCAUUAUGCAAGCCUUGUUACCGGGCUGUAAAUGAUAUUCCGGGUUAUUAAAUAAAUAAAUAAGGCAAAAUAAAAUUAAAAAUCACCCAACCCACCCUAUUUCUGAAAAUAGACACGGGAGCUCUGACAGCAUCCAUCCUAUCAUCAGUGUGGAUUACAGCACCCUGCAGCCCUGGUUUUCCAGAUGGAAUUAAGGAUUUUUGCCCAGCUCUGACUUGGAGUGGUUUAUUUUCUUCAUUAUUUCUCUGGGGCGCUGAUGGGAGCCCAAAGGUGUGUGCUUUAUUUAAAAAUAUUUAUAUAGAAAAAGGCAGGAGGUGUCUAUCUGUCAGGGAGGCUCACGGACAUCAGCAAAGGGUGAGGGGAAUAUCUUCUGAAAUUAAACAUAUCCCUUAAUUCUGUGAAAGGUCAAACUUUCCCUCACAGACCUCAUCUCCUUAACGCAAGUGGCUGUACGCAGGGUGCUGAGGAGACCUUGUCCCCUUGUCCCCUUUUCCCGACCCUGUUUUAAGAACACCGCGUAACCUUAUUUUGUGAAGGAAAAAACAACAACAACAACAAAAUUGUGAGGGUAAAUGAGCGAACGGAGGAUGUUUUUCUCACAGAAAGGGGAGGGGGAGGCAGACGGCCGCGCGGUACAGCGCCGCCCGCGGUACUGCAGGGCCCCGCCCGCUGCUCGCUUCACAAAAUGGCGCCCGGCGGGGCCGCGCCGAGCGGUACUGAGGCGACAAAAUGGCGGCGGGCGGAGAGCGCGGGAAGGGCCCGCGGCGCCCUGAGGGCCGCUCGUUCCCUUCCCGUCCCCCUCACCGUCCCAUUUUGAAGUGUUUUUUUCCCCUCACAGCGUGAAGAUUUUGGGGUCAACGCUGCUCUUUCCUCCCCCUCCACACGCGCCCUCCCAGGUGGGUAUUUCGAUAGCUUGAUGCCUAAUUUCUCCCCCUCCACUUCUCUCCUCCGCAGGGGUUGCAAUCGCUGUCCUCACCGCGUGGAAAAUGCCCAAUUAAAAAAACAAAAACAAAAAAAAAAAAAAAAAAAAAAAGCAAAACAACGCUAAAAAAGCCCCAAACAGCCGAGGACUGAGGGAAGGAACUGCCUCCUCACGGCCACCGUUCUGGUAAUUAAAAACAUACAUGUGGUGAGAUCAGAUGUGGUAAUACUGUUAAAAAGAAAAAAAAAAAAAAUCCUGUCAUAUUCUUGUGCUGCAGCUGCAAUACCACACAUCUUUCUGUGCUUUUUUUUUUUAUUGUUUGUAAUGCUUCCUUACCUUUAUCCACACCACAGUGUAGCAUUGCCCCUCCUUUGUUAAAAGCCUCAUACCUAAAAUACCUUUUUUUUUUCUUUUAAAAUUAGAGAUUUAGGGCCGUGCAGGUGCUCUUUAUUCCCACAUGUCUCUAUAUAUCUCCUUAUCCCAGAGAUGGAUUGCAGAACAAAGCCACUCACCUACAACGCUAUGAUCCAAUUACACACAAUUACUCUCACUUUGGCCCGUACGUAUCUUGGAUUUUAUAUAUUUAUUACCUUUGUUUUCCUCCAUUGGCUUUCUACUGUCCUAAGAGCAAGAGGGAAAAAAAAUUACACGCACACACCCAAAAGAAAAAAAAAAAAGACGAAAAAUAAUAGUUAAAAAAGGUAAAAACAAGCAAAAUGCGACCAGCCGCCCAUUUGAUCAGUCCGUGGUGAAGAUUGGUGCCUGAAUGCUUUAUUUGUUCCACAGAGGUGUAGAUUUCCCUUGGGAUGUUGGGGAAAGAUUUCUUAAUUAAAGGAUAAAAAAAUAAAAAGUAAAAAAUAAAGCAGUGAAACAGAACCAAAAAGGAAAGCAAUAUUAAUUAUUUAAAAAAAAGAAAAAAAAAAAAAGAAGAAGGCAGCUGACUCUGCCAGUGCAGUCGGGCAGGCACUGAAUUCAUUGCACCGAAAUGAGGACGGAUGAGCUGAACUGAGUGGCAGGGCUUAGUGCAGCUCCGGGAGGAGGGCUCAGCUCCUUGUCCCACUAUCCAGCGCCGCACACACCACCAUUUGUGUGCUUUUGUGCUUUAUUUCCAGCCCCGCGGGCUGCCCUACGUGAUGCACGGAGCGACGUGCGUGCCCCGCUGCUGUGCAUUCCUCUCCCUUUUAUUGCCUGCUCUAUGGCUCAGCUCGCUUUUUUUUUUCUCCCCCCUCUGCGGGCAGCAGGGUUGCUCUGCUUUCCUCUCCCCAGCUCGGCUGCUGAUUCCAGAAGUUUCUACAGCAAAGGAAAUGCACGGGGGAGGGGAGCACCUACUGCGGAGCUUUGCCGCAGCCGGGCAGGCGUGGAGGAGGAGGAGGAUGCGGAGGAUGCACCACCUCCCUCUCUCUCUUUCUCUUCCCCCCUCCCUCUCUCUUUGGUUCAGGACGCUUUCCAAGCCUCUCCCCCUCGCUACAUUUCCCCAUCCUUGCAGAGGGUGCUGGGAGGUGUUUGCAAGUUGUUUUUUUUCCUUCCCCCCCCCCCCCACGCACACACACACUCCGUUUCCUCCCCCUUUGCUAAAUAAAUUAAAAGCAGAGAUGUCUCCUGAUGGAGAUGGAUGAGGCUGGGCUCACUUGCAUGCACUGUGCCCCAGCUCCGAUCUGCUGCUUAGGGCAGAAGUGACCUUUCCCAGGCAGUGGGAGGGAGCUUCCCCCCACCCUGCUAUGCUGCUGCUUGGAAUUCAUCUUACAUAGCAGCCUCAUUUUUUUUUUUUUAUCCCCCCCUCCAAAGAACAGCUUGCUGCUACAGUGAUUGUUUUUUAUUAUUUUUAUUUAAUUAUUAUUUUCAGCCCAUGUUGCAGCUUCCUUAUGAUCGUUUUGUGUGUGUGUGUGUGUGUGUAUGCUUUGAACUGCAUUUUAAAUUUGCCCAGCUGGAGACAAGUCUCGAUUAGAGCUGGAACAAUAGCUCCAUUUUAUUAAUAAUGGGAAGGAUUUACGAUUCUACAGCACCUUCCUUGGAAGGCUUUCAAAACCAUUUGCAAACUCUCACAAAUGUAAGCUUUCACAGCCCUGCCUGUGAGGUGGGGAAAUGCAGGAUUGUUUGUGUAACUCCCACUCUACAGCAGAUAGCUUCUCUGUCACCAUGACUUCAAUGUGCACAGUCCAAGCAGUCACUUGUGAGCAAGGAGAGCAGGUAUUGGCACCUCCUCAUUAGCCUUCAUCAAUGAGAAUAUUGGCUAUGGUGUUGCGUGAGUGCCACUGGCUGACCAAUGGAGGGGCCCUACCCUGCUAAGCUGGAGCAACACUUUCUGAGUGGUGAUUUCAUUGCCUGGUUGCUGCAGUGAUUUGGAGCACAGCUGUGACGUUAUGCUUUUUCUGGCAAAAAUUUAGCUGAGGGGCCACUGUACCCUGUGGGAAUUGUACUACUUUUCUGUGGCAGUUUGGGAUAACUGAGGGCUUCCUUGGGAGUGUUGGACUUCUACCGCCACACGCUUUGGAUUGAAGAGUUACCAGAACGACAUCUGUGAGGUUUCCAAGCUAAACAAAACCUGAAUUUCUGGUGCAAAAAGCAACGUGAUUUCUGUCAUUCCUGCUGGGCAUUGCACGUGGGCCUUUUCAUGGAGAGGUAACGCCCUGCAGCUGUGUGUUAAACAUGGCAACAUACAGGAUACAGUGAUCUCUCCACUCCCAGGAGCCUGGAAGACUGAAGCCCUCUGCCUAGAGGAUGAAAUGCUUCAUGUUUGGAAAAAAAACUAGCAGGCUUUGUCUGUGACAGCUCCUUUCCUGUGGAUGUCCUUCCAGCCAGGCUGCCCGCAGUGUGACAGCAGUGACCCUGUGUGAGGUUUCUUUGAAGGACCUGGGAGACUGCGUGGCUUUUUCUUGUCCCUCGGAGGUGCUUCCCUGGCAGGGAGGGAGGAAAAUGAUUGGCAGUGCUGUCACAGGAGGCAUGCUUACCUGGCUAGGGGAAAGCUUGGUGUGGAAAAGCCAGCUGGUGCAUGGUUUGGGGAAGGAGAGGUUCCUUUCUCUCCAGAAUGGAAUCCCUUAAGGAAGGUAUAGACAAGCAGUUCCUGCUCUUGGGGCUUCUGGCUGGUUAAAACAAAGAGCUGAGCCCAUUUCCAUGGAGAAAUGUAUAAUAGAGCACGUUGCAGUGCUUUUCCUUGCGUGUGCGUGGCUUGGUCACACGUUUAACUAAUAGAUGGUUUGCAUGCAAGAGGUUAUUGCUUUUUUAUACUUUCAAUCAGUCCAUCUCCAUUGGGCAGAGCAGCUUCACAGCCACCAGCACGGGGGAAACUGAGGCACGGGGCUACAGUGGGAUUACAGGCAGAGCCGGGGAUAAGGCUCAGGUUUGCCGAGGCUCAGACCGACGUGCGUCAGAGGGCUGAUUAAAUGGAGAGAUUUGCAAAGGGAAGUGACCUAUAGCUCCAUGGCCGGGACGGUGUUGCUGGACUCGAUCCUUGUGGGCACCUUCCAACUCAAAGGGCAGUUUGGUCAGGGGAAGGGCUGGGUAAGCACGGCGAGCGCGGCCGACAGGGAGCGAGAUGUGGUGAGCUCCUUCCAUUGCCUUAGCCUGGAGCACAGCCAACCCGCGGGGCUCAUCCAGCACUGAACUUUGGAGUCGUUGCAGAUAAACAGCGCUAUAGGCUAAUAAAAGGCUCUGCCACGCAGGGCCCGGUCUGCCCGCACCGCAAUGACUUUGUUACGUGCUGACUGCAGUGAGGGACGGCGCUGGGUUUGCCUUCUCCUGGCCUUGGAUGGAGAGGAGCGGGCAGAACCUCGAGGCCUUUUGCCCCGCACCCGUUUCUGCACGGCAGCCCUUUACAUUUCACAGCGUGCUCCAUUUUUUUUCCUACUCCUAUUCCUUUUGUAGCAUAGCCCCCCUUUUUUGCAACAGUCCCCCUUUCUUCCUUCGUACCGUAUGUUUUAUUUGCUUAUUUCUUUAUGUGCAAUCCCUUAAUCCAUCACCUUGCAUUGCAGCCCCGCUUUUCGGCAUGCAUCCCUUGCUUUCCACAACCCACCUCGUGCAUUUAUUACUUUCCAUCGCAGCUCCCGUUUCUGGCUCGCACCUCCUCUUUUUUUUUUUUUUUUUUUUUUUGCCGUGCUUCCUUUAUCUAUGACUUCCCAUCCCAGCCCUGUUUGUAUCUGCCAUACAGUCCCUCCGUCACGUCGCGUUACACCGCGCUCUGCCCGCUCCGCUCCCGCAGC
rnacentral:lncRNA from 1 species